rnacentral:rRNA from 1 species
AACGAUGUCUACUAGUCGUUGGGGAACUUGAUUCCUUAGUGACCAGCUAACGCAAUAAGUAGACCGCCUGGGGAGUACGGCCGCAAGGUUAAAACUCAAAUGAAUUGNCGGGGGCCCGCACAGCGGUGGAGCAUGUGGUUUANUUNGAUGCAACGCGAAGAACCUUACCUGGUCUUGACAUAUCUAGAAUCCUGCAGAGAUGCGGGAGUGCCUUCGGGAAUUAGAAUACAGGUGCUGCAUGGCUGUCGUCAGCUNGUGUCGUGAGAUGUUGGGUUAAGUCCCGCAACGAGCGCAACCCUUGUCCUUAGUUACCAGCGGGUUAAGCCGGGAACUCUAAGGAUACUGCCAGUGACAAACUGGAGGAAGGCGGGGACGACGUCAAGUCAUCAUGGCCCUUACGACCAGGGCUACACACNUGCUACAAUGGUAGGUACAGAGGGCAGCUACACAGCGAUGUGAUGCGAAUCUCAAAAAGCCUAUCGUAGUCCAGAUUGGAGUNUGCAACUCGACUCCAUGAAGUAGGAAUCGCUAGUAAUCGCGGAUCAGAAUGCCGCGGUGAAUACGUUCCCGGGCCUUGUACACACCGCCCGUCACACCAUGGGAGUUGAUUGCACCAGAAGUGGUUAGCCGA